rnacentral:lncRNA from 1 species
AAUGCCCCCUUCUAAACAAAGGAACAAACAGGGAAAAAGCCAAACAAGACAACAACAAAAACAUUCUAAAUCCAACCAGCAAAUAGUGUCACCCCAGAAUUGAAGAAAAAGUGAAGAAGAAACCUGUGCUUAUUCAGAAAAAAAUAGAAAUUUGGGCUGAAUUAUGGAGUUGGAAUGCCACAUGGACAAGUGGCUUGGAUGCAUAUGAUGAAUUUUGUCAUGCAUUCUGUGAAGAAGUAAGGAGAGGAAACUCACAAAUUUUCAGUAAAUUUUCCAGACAGAAUUUGUAUUAUUAGCUUCAUUAAUGAGUCUGGCUCUCUAUUUAUAGAAUUAUAAAAGUCUUAAGGAGUUAAUUAAAAGGUUUUAGUAAUACUUGACUGCACUUUAUGAUAAGAAUUGCAUGCUAUAAUGGUAUUUCUGAUUUGAAGAAUUUGAAAAUGUCUUAGGACCCAUCUCUUAAGAUUGCCUGAUACCUAGCAUGAGUCUCUAAGAUUUCAUCUCACUCCAGUCAGAAUGGCAGAUAUUAAGAAUACAAACAACAGUAAGUGUUGGCAAGGAUAUGGGGAAAAAGUCACACUCAUACAUUGCUGGUGGUACUGUAAAUUGGUGCAGCCUAUUUUGAAAGCAGUAUGGAGAUUCCUUGGCAAGCUGGGCAUGGAACCACCAUUUGACACACCUAUCCCACUCCUUGGUCUGUACCCAAGUACUUAAAAACAGCAUACUACAGGGACACAGCCACAUCAAUGCUUAUAGCAGCAUAAUUCACAAUAGCUAAAUUGUGGAGACAACCUAGAUGCCUUUCAGUAGAUGAAUGGAUAAAGAAAAUGUGGUGUAUAUACACAAUGGAAUAUUAUUCAGCCUUAAACAAGAAUGAAAUUAUGGCAUUUUCUAGUAAAUGGAUGGAGCAUAGUAAAUGAAAUAAGCCAAUUCCAAGCAACCAAAAGCUGAAUGUUUUCUGAUAUGUGGAUGCUAACCCACUGUAAGGGAGUAGGGUAGGGAUGUAUAGAGGAACUUUGGAUUAGAUAGAGGGGAGUGAGGUUGAAAGGUUAAUAAUCUUGAGAACUGUUUGCUAAUCUUGUUCCCAGAAUGUGCUAUCCCCAACUGCCAAACUGCAGAAUGUAUUAAACCACCCACUUGCCCUGAUCCAUCAAUGAACUUCCCUCCCUGCCCUCUCCAAGGAAAGUAUAUAAGCUCUGCUUAAACUGUUCUCGGGGCUCUUUGCUCUAUUCAAGUGAGCUCUGAGCCCCAGCAUGCUGGACCCCCAAUAAACCCUUUGCUGUUGCAUGAGACAGUCUCUUGGUGGUUUCUUCCUCCUACGCUCGCCCGACCUUUACAUAUGGAGGUUCCACCGAGAUUUGGAAGCUGCGGAUGAAAGACCCCCAACGGGCUCCUCUCAGGGUAAGUAAGGCACCUCUUUCUGGUUUCUGGCUUCUGGUUUCAGGUUUCAGGUUUCAGGUUAGGGCUUGGCAAAAUGGCUGUCGGUGAAGAGCAUGAGCUCUCUCCGACGGUGGCUGACAGACGUGUCACAGACCCACAGGCCACGUCCCUGGGGGAUGCCCCAGAGGACUCAGGAAAUCGAGGAACAGUAGUUUCCUCGACUCAGCAGUAUUCUGCUUCGGAUUCGGUUUGCCAGCCCAUCAGGUUUUGCUGGCUACUCAGUUCUGGUCUCUGUCUCAAAUUUGUGUUGAACGUUUACUGUCUGUCUUUAUCGUCUAUGUCGUGUGUCCUUGCUUUCACUGUUUGUGUAUCUUUCAUUAUGGGACAGAGCACUUCAACGCCUUUGUCCCUGACCCUUGAUCACUGGACCAAAGUCCGCUUAAGGGCUCAGAAUCUUUCUUUUUCAGUAAAACGCCGGACCUGGCAGACUCUGUGCCUCAGAAUGGCCCACCUUUGGAGUCAGAUGGCCCCCAGAAGGAUCUUUCUACUUCCCACUAAUUCAAAAAGUCAGAAAUAUUGUCUUUGUCUUUCAGCCGGGGCCACAUAGCCAUCCAGAUCAACAGCCAUAUAUCUUAACUUUGGAGGACCUCUGCAAAUCUCCUCCUCCAUGGGUGACGCCUUUCUUUGUCCCUGCCCCAGCUCCUACUCCUUCCUCCACGAUUCUGUCUCUCAAACCCUCUGCUCCUCCUCCUCCUCCACCCUCUGUUCUCCCUGUCUCAAGAUUUGACUCUACUGGACUCUCCUCCCCCUCCUUAUCCCCUGCCCUCGUCCCCCAACCCCCAACACCCUCUAAGUGAUUCCCCUGCUGCUGACUCAGCCUCUCCGCCAUUGGAGGAAGCUAAGCCGGCCCAGCGCCCUCCAGAUGACUCCCCCGCGGCACACACAGCCCCUCCUCCCCUGGAGGAAGCUGGCCCGGCUAAAAGAACUCACCAGCGUUAUCACACCAACCUACUUGGGAUGACUGCCAACAACUCCUAGGCACUCUCUUCAUGACAGAGGAACGAGAGAGAAUCCUCCUGGAAGCUAGAAAAAAUAUCCUUGGACCAGAUGGACGACCGACACAACUUCCCCUUGAACCGACCCAACUGGGACCCCAACACCUUUGAAGGUAGGGAGCAUCUGUCCACUUAUCGCUGGGCUCUAAUAGUGGGUUUCUGAGCGGCCGCUAGGCGGCCAACUAAUUUGGCCAAGGUAAGAGAGAUUAUUCAAGGGCCUGAUGAAUCUCCCUCUAUGUUUCUAGAGAGAAUUAUGGAGGCAUAUAGGAGAUAUACUCCUUUCAAUCCUCAGGCAGAGGAUCAAAAGGCAUCUGUCACGAUGGCCUUUAUUGGGCAAGCUGCCCUGGAUAUUAAAAGAAAGUUACAAUGCUUAGAUGGAUUACAAGAUAUGACUUUGAGAGAUUUGGUCAGAGAAGCCAAGAAGGUAUACUAUAAGAGAGAAACUGAGGAAGAGAAGGAACAAAGGAGGGAGAAAGAAAAGGAGCAAAGGGAGGAUGAGAGAAGCAAAAGACAGACUAAGGCAUUGACUAAGGUCCUGGUCACAACAACAAAUAGGCCAAAAAUUAAACAGGGAGACAGGAAGGGCUACCUGGGCCCAUGCCAGAGGCCACCUCUGGCCUCAGAUCAAUGUGCCUACUGUAAAGAAAAAGGACACUGGGCCAAAGAGUGCCCUAGAAAGAGACAGCCACGCCAGCCAGCCAUUCUGACUCUGGACGAUGACUAGGAAAGUCGGGGCUUGGAUCCCCUCCCCAAGCUCAGGGUAACUUUUGAAGUGGAGGGGACCCCAGUAAACUUUGAAGUGGAUACAGGGGCAGUAUACUCAGCCCUUAAAGCCCCAUUGGGCCCUCUAUCAAAUAAAAGGUCUCUAGUUCAAGGGGCUAAUGGCAGUAAAUAUCGGGCUUGGACAACUAAGAGGACCAUGGACCUGGGGAAAGGAAAAGUCCAUCACUCCUUCCUAGUGAUCCCAGAAUGCCCGGCCUCAUUGAUGGGCAGAGAUCUGCUCACCAAGCUCCGGGCCAGAAUAAC